rnacentral:rRNA from 1 species
AUUAGAUGAGCCUAUAUUAGAUUAGCUAGUUGGUAAGGUAAUGGCUUACCAAGGCAGUGAUCUAUAGCUGAUCUGAGAGGAUGAUCAGCCACACUGGAACUGAGAUACAGUCCAGACUCCUACGGGAGGCAGCAGUGGGGAAUAUUGGACAAUGGGCGAAAGCCUGAUCCAGCCAUGCCGCAUGAGUGAAGAAGGCCUUCGGGUUGUAAAGCUCUUUUAGUGAGGAAGAUAAUGACGGUACUCACAGAAGAAGUCCUGGCUAACUCCGUGCCAGCAGCCGCGGUAAUACGGAGAGGGCUAGCGUUAUUCGGAAUUAUUGGGCGUAAAGAGCGCGUAGGCUGAUUAGUAAGUUAAAAGUGAAAUCCCAAAGCUCAACUUCGGAAUUGCUUUUAAAACUGCUAAUCUAGAGAUUGAAAGAGGAUAGAGGAAUUCCUAGUGUAGAGGUGAAAUUCGUAAAUAUUAGGAGGAACACCAGUGGCGAAGGCGUCUAUCUGGUUCAAAUCUAACGCUGAUGCGCGAAGGCGUGGGGAGCAAACAGGAUUAGAUACCCUGGUAGUCCACGCUGUCAACGAUGAAUGCUAAAUAUGGGAAG